rnacentral:rRNA from 1 species
CGUAGGUGGCAAGCGUUGUUCGGAAUAACUGGGCGUAAAGGAUGCGUAGGCGGUUAAACAAGUUAUAUGUUAAAUAUAUAGGCCUCACCUGUAGAAAGCAUAUAAAACUGUUUAACUAGAGUGCAGGAGAGGUAAGUGGAAUUCCUAGUGUAGCGGUGAAAUGCGUAGAGAUUAGGAAGAACACCAGUGGCGAAGGCGACUUACUGGACUGUAACUGACGCUGAGGCAUGAGAGCAUGGGGAGCAAA